CCUACGGGUGGCAGCAGUGGGGAAUAUUGGACAAUGGGGGCAACCCUGAUCCAGCCAUGCCGCGUGUGUGAAGAAGGCCCUCGGGUUGUAAAGCACUUUCAGUGAGGAAGAACGCCUGGUGGUUAAUACCCAUCAGGAAAGACAUCACUCACAGAAGAAGCACCGGCUAACUCCGUGCCAGCAGCCGCGGUAAUACGGAGGGUGCGAGCGUUAAUCGGAAUUACUGGGCGUAAAGCGCGCGUAGGUGGCUUGAUAAGCCGGUUGUGAAAGCCCCGGGCUCAACCUGGGAACGGCAUCCGGAACUGGCAAGCUAGAGUGCAGGAGAGGAAGGUAGAAUUCCCGGUGUAGCGGUGAAAUGCGUAGAGAUCGGGAGGAAUACCAGUGGCGAAGGCGGCCUUCUGGACUGACACUGACACUGAGGUGCGAAAGCGUGGGUAGCAAACAGGAUUAGAUACCCUUGUAGUC
rnacentral:rRNA from 1 species